rnacentral:rRNA from 1 species
UACGAAGGGGGCUAGCGUUGUUCGGAAUUACUGGGCGUAAAGCGUGCGCAGGCGGCUUCUCAAGUCAGGGGUGAAAGCCCAGAGCUCAACUCUGGAAUUGCCUUUGAGACUGAGUGGCUUGAGUACGAGAGAGGUGAGUGGAACUCCGAGUGUAGAGGUGAAAUUCGUAGAUAUUCGGAAGAACACCAGUGGCGAAGGCGACACACUGGGCCAUUACUGACGCUGAGGCGCGAAAGCGUGGGGAGCAAACAGG